ACGCUCGACACCUACGGGAGCAGCAGUGAGGAAUAUUGGUCAAUGGGCGCAGGCCUGAACCAGCCAAGUAGCGUGAAGGAUGACUGCCCUAUGGGUUGUAAACUUCUUUUAUAUGGGAAUAAAGUUUUCCACGUGUGGAAUUUUGUAUGUACCAUAUGAAUAAGGAUCGGCUAACUCCGUGCCAGCAGCCGGUAAUCUGAGCGGGCUGGCAAGGC
rnacentral:rRNA from 1 species